rnacentral:lncRNA from 1 species
UUUAAAUCAAUUAAAUCAUCUAGAAGGGGUAACUUUGUCAUUUAAAAUUAUUUAUGCUUCUUUGAUUCAAUCAUAAUCAUCGAUUCAGAUUAAUCCAUGGUCCACAUUAUCAAUCCUUGUCCAUUCCAAUUCAUCCAAUCAAAAUUAGAAAAAAAUCAAAUGAUAAACAAUCAAGAAAAUCAUAAAAUAAAAGAAUUUAUUCUCAUGUCUAAUGAGAAGCUGC